GAAUUGACGGAAAGGCACCACCAGGAGUGGAGCCUGCGGCUUAAUUUGACUCAACACGGGAAAUCUCACCAGGCCAGAACACCAGGUGGAUUGACAGAUUGACAGCUCUUUCUUGAUUUGGUGGGUGGUGGUGCAUGGCCGUUCUUAGUUGGUGGAGCGAUUUGUCUGGUUAAUUCCGAUAACGAACGAGACUCCAGCCUACUAACUAGACGUACAAUUUAACCAGUAUCUUUGCUACUGGCGGUUUAAUCUCUUCUUAGAGGGACAGGCGGCAUUUAGCCGCACGAGACGGAGCAAUAACAGGUCUGUAAUGCCCUUAGAUGUUCUGGGCCGCACGCGCGCUACACUGAAGGAAUCAACGUGUGAUUUACCCUAGGCCGAAAGGUCCGGGUAACCCGUUGAACCUCCUUCGUGCUAGGGAUUGGGGCUUGCAAUUUUUCCCCAUCAACGAGGAAUUCCUAGUAAGUGCGAGUCAUAAGCUCGUGUUGAUUAAGUCCCUGCCUUUUGUGCACACCGCCCGUCGCUACUACCGAUUGAACGAUUUAGUGAGGUCUUCAGACCUGUGCGCGAGACUUAUCAUCCGGUAAGUUUCGAUGAUUUCGGGGAAGACGACCAAACUUGA
rnacentral:rRNA from 1 species